rnacentral:snRNA from 1 species
GUGCUCGCUUCGGCAGCACAUAUACUACAAUUCGAACGAUACAGAGGACAUUCGCAUAGCCCCUGCGCAAGGAUGACACGCAAAUUCAUGAAGCGUUCCAUAUUAAA